CCACCUCUGAAAAACAUCAUUUUGCCUUUCCAAAGCCUAAGAUCUUUGUUUAAUUUGCCUUCGUUUUUAGAAUAACAUUCUCAAAUUUCACCUCCUCCUGCUUCUUUUUCUUUGCAGAUGCAAGGGUAACUUGGCAGAGAACCACAGACAGCCACUCUGAGACACCUAAGUGUCAUUUUGCACAAGCCAAUGACCACUGCAUGGUUUGCAAGAAAUUUUGAAAUGUAAAAGCAAGAUUUUGAUUUGCAAACUUUCCUCAGGCUUCAAAGGGUUAAUCUUCUCCAGAAGAGCAUCUCCAUCUCCUUGGCAGGGUGGAUGAGAGUUGCUUGAAGAAAAUAUUCAGAUAAUCAUGUGGAGCUUAUUCCACAGAAUUUGAUGGAACUGUGACAGUUGCCUGCAUAUUUGAAGAACAGGGAUUUUACUAAAUGAAGGAUGUCAAUGCAGUUGCUCUAGCAGAUAAUUAUGCUUCAUGAACACUGGAUUCCAAUUAGAGAAGAACAAGUCCCUGGCAAUAGCCUCCUUAUACAGUGAAUUAAAAAGACAACUAAUUGGCAAAUGUGGUGCCAAAUAUGGAGGAAAAAGAGAAAGGGAAAAGGUGUUGUGUCAUCUGAGAGCCUCUUUGUCACCUCCAGCUGGGAACAGUGUCUUUUGCCUGCUGCCAGUGUGCUGCAACCCAGCACUAGAAGAUAAAGAUUGACAGAGAGGUAAUUUAUUGGCAGCAUGUCCCCAAUCAGGCCUUCAGUGAAAUAUCUCUCAGAGCCAAGUUGCCUAAAUUCCUCUGUCUACAUGGACGGUUCCUGCUCUUUCCAGAACUGAUGCUGUCUGGGGGGGUGCUGUGAAGCACCCUGAGCCUCCCAGGUCUUUAUGCUGAGAAUGACAAUGAUUUAAUGAAGAGGUGCAAAUGGAUGCAUGAGUGGAAAGGGGUGAGGAGUGUAACUAUUUCUGGAUUGCUACAGAGGAGCGCCAGAGAGAGAAUGUGCAAUGAGCUUGGGAAGGCUGCUCCUCUGCAGCUGCUGCUUAGAGGUUUGAUGCCUGUCCCUGGGCACACUAGGGAAUAAGCCAACCAUCUGAUAACAGUGGCAUCUAACAUGUGCCUUGCCUGGGGAUAGCAUCUAUCCACAAAAGGCACAAGAAAAACAUCAGUUUGUGAUGUAUCACUCAAGUUUUUUAAGUCAUUGAACAAUAAUCAGCAGUGAUUCAAAGGCUGGUUUUGACAGUUUUCUAGAAUUAUGCCAUACUUUUCCCAUCUCAUAUAUAUAAAAGUGUGUGUAUAUAUAUAUAUAUAUGUAGUAGAUACAUUAGUAUGACAUGCAUUCUAUAUUAUAAUUUAGUGUAUGUGCACAUUAUUAUAUACAUAACACAUGCAAACACACAUUAGCAGUCUUGUUAAAAAUACGUACAGCCUUUUUAUUUAUAAAGAAUGGAGAGUAUAAUCAAAUGUCAGACCCUGAAAAACCACAUGCCAAGGGAAUGCCACGUAGUCUGCCAUCCCUGUUCUAUGGCAGGUGGCUUUGAGGGACUACCAGAAGAACCUCAUGACAGUGAAUAAAGCUGACUGUACAAAUUGUGAGUUUUCUUCC
rnacentral:lncRNA from 1 species